AUUGAACGCUGGCGGCAGGCCUAACACAUGCAAGUCGAGCGAGCGGCGGACGGGUGAGUAAUGUCUGGGAAACUGCCUGAUGGAGGGGGAUAACUACUGGAAACGGUAGCUAAUACCGCAUACCAUCAGAUGUGCCCAGAUGGGAUUAGCUAGUAGGUGGGGGAACGGCUCACCUAGGCGACGAUCCCUAGCUGGUCUGAGAGGAUGAACAGACACACUGUAACGGGGAAAGGGGUCAGACUCCUACUGGAGGGAUCAGGGGGGAAGAGUGCACAAUGGGCGCAAGCCUGAUGCAGCCAUGCCGCGUGUGUGAAGAAGGCCUUCGGGUUGUAAAGCACUUUCAGCGGGGAGGCGUUACCCGCAGAAGAAGCACCGGCUAACUCCGUGCCAGCAGCCGCGGUAUAC
rnacentral:rRNA from 1 species